rnacentral:lncRNA from 1 species
GUGUGGAAACGGAGACCCAGAGAGGAAAAAUCAGUUGAAUCUUGUCCUGCAAUUGCUUUGUGUUCCUGGCUUUGGAGAGUUCCUGGGAACCCAAGGAAAGGGCAGUGGAGAAGAACAGCAAAGAAGAAGGGGAGAGGGUGUCACGCUUCCGGUAGUCCCUUUCUCACCCCUUGUCCACCCCUGCUCCAACAUUGGAGGCAUAUUGGAGGGCCCAAAAGGCCCUUAAAGUAUUCAGUCUAGAUUCUGGAUGUUUCUCGAAGGAACAGGGCUUCCCUCCCUGAAGUCCCCACCAGCCCUGCCUUACACUCCCAAGGUUUAGGCAAGGUGCCAGAUCUACAGCCCUGGAGUCGGAGCCUGGAGCCUGGAGUCCAGAAAGAUUGCUGAGACUUUGCUGGGAAAGAGGAACAGACUUGAACUCCCGAAGCCAUGGAGGAGGGGAAAGAAGGCAUCUCAGAGGUGGCACUGCUGUGAUAUCUAUCUAUCAGCACCCAAGGAGGCCAAGGAGAAGAAACAGUGACCAGAGAGGGAGCCAGGAGGAGAUGCCUGCUCUUGAAAUAGCCUCUUUAUCCCAUCCUCUCCAGCGCCCCCUCUCACAUGCUGACAAGGCUGUGUGCCCAAGUGUGCCAGCUCUCCUGGCUGGCAAUCCUGCACUGCCGUGCAGGCAUCCAGCUCUCUGCUCCGGCACAGAGCACAUGCUGGGAUCUCUCACACUCCUUUGCUCACUCAUCUCAACAUGUCCGUGUUGCAGAUUCCUAGGGAUGAAAGAGGAAGCUGUGGCUCUGGAGACGAGACCAUCUCUGCUCCCCCAGCUCUCCCUGGCAGCAUUGGGAGCCCAGGGCCCCCUGCUGGAAUACCGAUAA